rnacentral:rRNA from 1 species
AUGUACAUUCCUACACCAUUAAUGCAUUGGAUCCCUGCAGUUAAGCAUGCUUGAGAUAGAGUAGUACUAGGAUGGGUGACCUCCAGAGAAGUCCUAGUGUUUUACAUG